rnacentral:rRNA from 1 species
GGGGAAUAUUGGGCAAUGGACGAAAGUCUGACCCAGCAACGCCGCGUGAAGGAAGAAGGUCUUCGGAUUGUAAACUUUUGUCUUUGGAGACGAAUAAAUGACGGUAUCCAAAAAGGAAGCUCCGGCUAACUACGUGCCAGCAGCCGCGGUAAUACGUAGGGAGCAAGCGUUAUCCGGAAUUACUGGGUGUAAAGGGUGCGUAGGCGGGAUGUAAAGUCAGAUGUGAAAUACCGAGGCUCAACUUCGGGGCUGCAUUUGAAACUUACAUUCUUGAGUGAAGUAGAGGCAAGCGGAAUUCCCAGUGUAGCGGUAAAAUGCGUAGAUAUUGGGAGGAACACCAGUGGCGAAGGCGGCUUGCUGGGCUUUAACUGACGCUGAGGCACGAAAGCAUGGGUAGCAAAC